GUGAUGAUGGAUCAUGAUAAAGCAUGUCAAAUGGGAUUUGCUCAAAAAAGAAUCACCCAAUUUGGCCAAAUGGUUUGAAAGUUAUGCCUCCUUGAAAUUCCAAAAUUCUUGAAAAUAAUUUGAUCAUAACUUGCCAACCAUAAAUGAGAAAUGAGUGUUCUUGGACUUCUUGGAAAGGCAAGAGCAAGAUCUUCAACUUUCAUGUUGGACAAAAUUUGAUUUGAAGCUUGCUUGGACAUGUAAAUUUGAGGAGAAG
rnacentral:lncRNA from 1 species